rnacentral:lncRNA from 1 species
AUCCCUUUUCCGACCAAGCCUUGUCUCCUGCACACGAUUCCCCCAACCAGAAGUCGUGCACCGCUCCGAGCUCCUUCCCCCGAUGAGAACGCGCGAUACCUCGCCGGCAGGUGCUCCUUCCCUCAACUAGGGCUUGGCCCGGCGGCACCUGCAACAACAACGAGCAGAAGUGCUCCCUUCCCCCCAAAUCUAGCACUUCUGCGCGUGAUACCUCGCCGGCAGCAGCACGUGCACCUAUCCGCAGCAAUCCCCGGCAAAAAUCCGACACAGGCACCGACCUCCAUCGCCGGAUUUCGUCCUGCAUCCCACACACAGUCUUCAGUCUUCAGUCAGAAUAUGGUACUGACCCUUCUUCUUACCUGCAGAAUGAAUUCCUCAGUUGGAUCUGCUGGAAGAAUUAUGGAAGAGGUACCAAAUGAGGGGAGUGAUGUCCUUGGUGAAAGAAGUAUGAAAGAGCAACAGAGUGACAAGGAUGAUGUUUAUGUUGAAAGAGAGAUGGAGCAAGUAUCAAGUCAUGAUGAUGAUGUGUUGAGGGAAGCAAGUCAUGAUGAUGAUAUGUUGAGGGAAGCACUGCUUGAAACUGGGCAGUUUACAGGUGCCAUGAGCAUUGAUCAGAUUGAUACAGAUGACUUUGGACAUGAAGAUGGAGAGACUAAAGACGAGGGGGUCCAAUCUCAACCUGCAGUCCCUACUGUUGGUAUGGAGUUCUUUUCAGAAAAAGAAGCUCAAGAUUACUACAAUCGUUAUGCAAAGAACUGGGGUUUCGGAACAAAGAUUUCAAGCAACAAAAAAAGCAAUGUCACCAAGGAGUACAACAGAUAUGAGUUUGCUUGCUACUUUGAGCGCACAAGCCAGAAAAAGAAUCCAAAGUCAAGCGCUAGCAGUGGGUCAAAAAACUGCGAGAGUUUGGGAAAACCCAAAGGCAACGCAAGAAAAUGUAACAACCCCGAUAUGUGGUCCGGCUACCCAAUGGAAGAACAAGCUGCAAAGUUCUAUACGCGUGCAAUGUUCAGCAAAUUUCAGCAUAGGUUGUACUUGAGUACAACUUAUCAAACAAUUGCUGGCCCGGAACCUGGAUCAUAUUUUGUGCAGCUGAUUUUAAAGGAUGACAGUAAAAAAUUCUUAGUUCAUUAUGACCUCACUGAAAGCUUCAGUUGCGCCUACAACAAAAUUCAGAGGGACAAGAUGUUGUGUGGGCAUGCUUUGAAAGUGAUGACACAGUUGAAUGUGUAUGUGCUACCAAAAAAGUACCUUUGUGAUCGAUGGACGCUCAGAGGGUCUGAACAUGCUUCAAAUGCUCUUGUGCAAGCCAACAUCGAUGAGGCAUCAAGCAAGAAAAUGAAGUAUGUCCGGCUCUACAAGAAAUCAGCCUCCGUUGCAGCUGAAGCCUGCAAAACAAAAGAGGGAUAUGAGCUUGCAGUCAAGACAAUUAAUGGAUUGGCAGAAAAACUAGUAGUGAUUAACACAACAAAAAACCUUGAGCAAACUCCCUCUGUGAGCAGCACUGCAGUGUUGGAUGGUACCCCUGUAGCAGCAACACUGAAAGAUCCUAAGAAGAAGGUUCCGAGGGGCAGGCCCAAAAACUCAACUAGGUUAAAAUCUUCUGUGUUUGAUGAUACCAGUGGUGGGUCAACAAGCCGUAAAAAAAGGAAGAAAUCAACAAGCAACCAAACCUGCUGA